rnacentral:rRNA from 1 species
UUUUAUGGAGAGUUUGAUCCUGGCUCAGAGUGAACGCUGGCGGCGUGCCUAAUACAUGCAAGUCGAACGAUGAAGCUUCUAGCUUGCUAGAGUGCUGAUUAGUGGCGCACGGGUGAGUAACGCAUAGGUCAUGUGCCUCUUAGUUUGGGAUAGCCAUUGGAAACGAUGAUUAAUACCAGAUACUCCCUACGGGGGAAAGAUUUAUCGCUAAGAGAUCAGCCUAUGUCCUAUCAGCUUGUUGGUAAGGUAAUGGCUUACCAAGGCUAUGACGGGUAUCCGGCCUGAGAGGGUGAACGGACACACUGGAACUGAGACACGGUCCAGACUCCUACGGGAGGCAGCAGUAGGGAAUAUUGCUCAAUGGGGGAAACCCUGAAGCAGCAACGCCGCGUGGAGGAUGAAGGUUUUAGGAUUGUAAACUCCUUUUGUUAGAGAAGAUAAUGACGGUAUCUAACGAAUAAGCACCGGCUAACUCCGUGCCAGCAGCCGCGGUAAUACGGAGGGUGCAAGCGUUACUCGGAAUCACUGGGCGUAAAGAGCGCGUAGGCGGGAUAGUCAGUCAGGUGUGAAAUCCUAUGGCUUAACCAUAGAACUGCAUUUGAAACUACUAUUCUAGAGUGUGGGAGAGGUAGGUGGAAUUCUUGGUGUAGGGGUAAAAUCCGUAGAGAUCAAGAGGAAUACUCAUUGCGAAGGCGACCUGCUGGAACAUUACUGACGCUGAUUGCGCGAAAGCGUGGGGAGCAAACAGGAUUAGAUACCCUGGUAGUCCACGCCCUAAACGAUGGAUGCUAGUUGUUGGAGGGCUUAGUCUCUCCAGUAAUGCAGCUAACGCAUUAAGCAUCCCGCCUGGGGAGUACGGUCGCAAGAUUAAAACUCAAAGGAAUAGACGGGGACCCGCACAAGCGGUGGAGCAUGUGGUUUAAUUCGAAGAUACACGAAGAACCUUACCUAGGCUUGACAUUGAGAGAAUCCGCUAGAAAUAGUGGAGUGUCUAGCUUGCUAGACCUUGAAAACAGGUGCUGCACGGCUGUCGUCAGCUCGUGUCGUGAGAUGUUGGGUUAAGUCCCGCAACGAGCGCAACCCCCUUUCUUAGUUGCUAACAGGUCAUGCUGAGAACUCUAAGGAUACUGCCUCCGUAAGGAGGAGGAAGGUGGGGACGACGUCAAGUCAUCAUGGCCCUUACGCCUAGGGCUACACACGUGCUACAAUGGGGUGCACAAAGAGAAGCAAUACUGCGAAGUGGAGCCAAUCUUCAAAACGCCUCUCAGUUCGGAUUGUAGGCUGCAACUCGCCUGCAUGAAGCUGGAAUCGCUAGUAAUCGCAAAUCAGCCAUGUUGCGGUGAAUACGUUCCCGGGUCUUGUACUCACCGCCCGUCACACCAUGGGAGUUGUGUUUGCCUUAAGUCAGGAUGCUAAAUUAGCUACUGCCCACGGCACACACAGCGACUGGGGUGAAGUCGUAACAAGGUAACCGUAGGUGAACCUGCGGUUGGAUCACCUCCUUUCUAGA